GACGUAGGAGGCGAGCGUUAUCCGGAUUCACUGGGCGUAAAGCGCCUGUAGGCGGUUGCACAAGUCCGUUGUUAAAGCCCCUGGCUCAACUGGGGGAGGUCAAUGGAGACUGUGCGACUUGAGGGCAAUAGAGGCACGUGGAACUCCCGGUGUAGCGGUGGAAUGCGUAGAGAUCGGGAAGAACACCAGUGGCGAAGGCGACGUGCUGGGUUGCACCUGACGCUGAGAUGCGAAAGUGUGGGGAGCAAACGGG
rnacentral:rRNA from 1 species